rnacentral:lncRNA from 1 species
ACCAUGCCAUCUUCUAAGAGCAAGUACAAUAAGAUGACGUAGACGGGCUGUAAGACUUAAAACGAUAUAUUUGUGAUGAGUUGAAAAAGAGAGAAGAGGAGAGAGAAGAGAAGCGGGCUACAAACUAACAGCCGGCUGUAACACGUGCUCCUAGGCACUUUGUGAGAAAGGAUGGUGGGCCUUGUAUCAAUAAAAUAAUACUUAUUUA